rnacentral:tRNA from 3 species
GACUCCGUAGCUCAGUUGGUAGAGCAACUGACUCUUAAUCAGUGGGUCGAGAGUUCGAAUCUCUCCGGGGUCACCA